rnacentral:rRNA from 1 species
GAUGAACGCUGGCGGCGUGCCUAAUACAUGCAAGUCGAGCGAACAGACGAGGAGCUUGCUCCUCUGACGUUAGCGGCGGACGGGUGAGUAACACGUGGAUAACCUACCUAUAAGACUGGGAUAACUUCGGGAAACCGGAGCUAAUACCGGAUAAUAUAUUGAACCGCAUGGUUCAAUAGUGAAAGACGGUUUUGCUGUCACUUAUAGAUGGAUCCGCUCCACAUUAGCUAGUUGGUAAGGUAACGGCUUACCAAGGCGACGAUGCGUAGCCGACCUGAGAGGGUGAUCGGCCACACUGGAACUGAGACACGGUCCAGACUCCUACGGGAGGCAGCAGUAGGGAAUCUUCCGCAAUGGGCGAAAGCCUGACGGAGCAACGCCGCGUGAGUGAUGAAGGUCUUCGGAUCGUAAAACUCUGUUAUUAGGGAAGAACAAAUGUGUAAGUAACUAUGCACGUCUUGACGGUACCUAAUCAGAAAGCCACGGCUAACUACGUG